GUAUUACGCAAUGUUAUAAGAAUCCAACGGAAAGUUUGACCGUUUGAAUAAAGCCAUAAAAAUUGUUUGUUUUUAUCAGAAAAACCAAUAUAUUGCAAGAAUGCCAUAAAAAAUAGCAAAAUAAUUUAACAAAGGGAAAAUAGCUGCACAGAUUCGCGUAGGGGGAGAGAGAAAGUGUGUGAAUGCAAAAUCACAUGGCCUCGUUGUCACUGGGACCUCAGCCGCAUCAGCAUAAUCCACCGUCCGACCAUCAAUAUCAUCAUCAUCAUGCUCCGCCGCCAGCUGCCGCUGCUCACAUGGACGCCGAUAAGGUACCUUGCUUAUACAUACAUUUACAUGGUGAUUUUCUUGUCCUUUGCUGCCGCAUUCUGUUUCCUACGUGAAAAUCGAGCUGGGUUCCUCUUGGCUUACCUUGAUCUAGCUGAGAAGCUUCAGUUUUUGCUCGAUCUUUGCUUUUAAUGCUUUGACGAGGAUUAGAAGUGGUUGCCGCGGGUAUAUUCGUCGAAUUUUUGGGCGAUCUGGGAGUUUGUACUGUUCUGUUGGCGUUUCUACUUCUAGCUAGGUUUUGAAGUUUUCAGCCGGAUUUUGGAGAUGUUUUCUUUUCUUGCUUUAAUUUCUGGGCUAAAUGAUUCUGUGAAUAUUUUAAUUAUGAUUUUUUCUUUUCUUUCUUACAAUUUCUGGGAUUCUUUACUACUUCAUCCAUUUUGUGAAUAUUUUCACCUGUCGAGGUACCUUAUCUUUUUGUAAGGUUUAACAUAUAUUUAUCUUUCCUUUUUCAGAAUUCUUUGAUUUUUCUUUCUUUUUAUCUGUGUUAUAUUUACGUGCAACGUUUUUACAAAUAUGGUUAUUCUUUUCCCGCUAUUGUUAGAUCUGCAACGUUCUAUAUGGCUCAUUUUUAUGUUAACAUGAUUUUUCUUUAAAUUAGUUUUUAACUAACGUAAUUUGUUUUUUAAAGUUGCUUACUUCCUUAGGUAAAGUGUUUAGCUGCUUUUGAUUAACUUUAGAUGAAUCAUGCUUGAAUCUGAUGAAUUGGGGUUUGCUUCAAGUGGUUGGCUGACGGUCGAUUCUCCUUAAACUAUUGCAGUCAGCUUGUUUGAAUUGCAAGUUGUCUGGCAUGUGAUGCUUUCUUGGAAGCCCUAGAUUUUGCCAAACAUUGCUUCUUCUUCUUCAUUUUUUUUCUCGUUUGUGUGUUCCAAACAGAACAUAUCCUUUUGAGCCUUGUGCUUUUGGGUUCCCAAUUCACAUUUCACCAGGCAUUUUAUGGUUUUAUAGCUGAGUGUGGCUGAUAAUAUGGUACUGCUCACAUGAGGUUUUGGGAGCUAGGUUGGUUGUUCUUAGUGGUUUCCAUCUUUGUUUAUGUCUGAUGCUUUGGCUUGUUUUACAAUGCAGGAGAUGCCAGCUUCUGCAGUUGAUGUGAAUGAUCCAAUAACUAGCCACAUUAUAUCAACUACAAUUGGAGGCAAAAAUGGAGAGCCCAAAAGGGUUGGUGUUUGAGCUUCAUCUUUCAAGUCCCAUAGACCUUGUCUAUUGAGUGUUACAAAUGUUUUAGAAGUAGUUAGAGGAACUUUGAAAUGUUUUACUUAAUGAG
rnacentral:lncRNA from 1 species